rnacentral:pre_miRNA from 1 species
AAAAAGACAAACCCUGGUUUCCGUGCCCAACAUUUGACCGUCCGUCUUAUUUAAAAGAAUUAUGAAAAAAAUUAAAAAGACAAGUCACGCACAAAGUAUUAAUCAUGUUUUAUCAUCUAACAACAAUAAAAAUACGAAUUAUAAAAAAAUUUCAUAUAAGACGGACAGUCAAAGUUGGACACGGAAACCCAGGGUUUGUCUUUUU